ACUCGAGGAACCGGGUAUACUGGAUACGAGACGAGACCGCAUGUCAUUGUCUGGAGAGAAUUCGGUCUGGGAUGGACUCACGGCCUAUUAGCUAGUUGGUGAGGUAAUGGCUCACCAAGGCGACGAUGGGUAGCCGGCCUGAGAGGGCGACCGGCCACACAGGAACUGAGAUACGGUCCAGACUCCUACGGGAGGCAGCAGUGGGGAAUAUUGCACAAUGGGCGAAAGCCUGAUGCAGCGACGCCGCGUGGGGGAUGAAGGCCUUCGGGUUGUAAACCCCUUUCAGCAGGGAAGAAGCGAAAGGA
rnacentral:rRNA from 1 species